rnacentral:tRNA from 1 species
GGCGCUAUCUUCUAAUUGGUCAGGAAAUCAGGCUUUCAAUCUGGGAACGCGGGUUCGAACCCCGCUAGCGCUA